GACGAACGCUGGCGGCGUGCUUAACACAUGCAAGUCGAACGGAAAGGCCCUGCUUUUGUGGGGUGCUCGAGUGGCGAACGGGUGAGUAACACGUGAGUAACCUGCCCUUGACUUUGGGAUAACUUCAGGAAACUGGGGCUAAUACCGGAUAGGAGCUCCUGCUGCAUGGUGGGGGUUGGAAAGUUUCGGCGGUUGGGGAUGGACUCGCGGCUUAUCAGCUUGUUGGUGGGGUAGUGGCUUACCAAGGCUUUGACGGGUAGCCGGCCUGAGAGGGUGACAGGCCACAUUGGGACUGAGAUACGGCCCAGACUCCUACGGGAGAUAGCAGUGGGGAAUAUUGCACAAUGGGCGGAAGCCUGAUGCAGCAACGCCGCGUGCGGGAUGACGGCCUUCGGGUUGUAAACCGCUUUCGCCUGUGACGAAGCGUGAGUGACGGUAAUGGGUAAAGAAGCACCGGCUAACUACGUG
rnacentral:rRNA from 1 species